UGUGCGCGCGCUGAAUAAUUGGAACUUCAAUGCCCACAAUCCCCACAGACUCCUCGGUUUUCUCCGUCGCCUCCCCGCGCUCACACCCAUUAAACAAACUGGACCGGCUUUCCGAUUGGCCCGUGUGGCCAGUGACAUCAGGACCCAACGUGGGGUUUUCUAAAGCCGAAUGGUUGGAAGGCAGCAGCGUUCUAUCCAAUCAGUGCGCGCGGAGAGCCCUUGGCCAGCCGACAGCUUUUAAGGUGGAACCGGAGAGUUGUUGACACGUUUCUAAACGGGAACUUGAGACGUGUGUGGUAAAAGCGAGGUUUCCGUUUCCUUUAGGUCAUGUUGGUAAAAUGAUAAAAUACACGAGAAGGCCCGCAGUUAAUGGGUUACAGAUCCGCUCACCCCUCCCACAAGACGCGCACCGGGAAUUGUGGAUAUAAGCCACGUCAGCAUCCAUGCAGACAACAACUCACGAAGGAGGCUUGAAGUGAGAAGCUGAAACUGUCAAGACAGGAAUUUGCGUUGAAAGAUAAAAGAAGAAA